GAUGAACGCUAGCGGGAGGCUUAACACAUGCAAGUCGAGGGGCAGCAUAGGGUAGCAAUACUCUGAUGGCGACCGGCAGACGGGUGAGUAACGCGUAUGUAACCUACCCUGUACAGGGGGAUAACCCGGAGAAAUUCGGACUAAUAUCCCAUGGAAAUAUCGGAAGGCAUCUUUUGAUAUUUAACGUUCCGGCGGUACGGGAUGGGCAUGCGGCACAUUGGCUAGUUGGUAAGGUAACGGCUUACCAAGGCUUUGAUACUUAGGGGUCCUGAGAGGGUGGUCCCCCACACUGGUACUGAGACACGGACCAGACACCUACGGGAGGCAGCAGUGAGGAAUAUUGGUCAAUGGGCGCAAGCCUGAACCAGCCAUCCCGCGUGCCGGAAGACGGCCCUAUGGGUUGUAAACUGCUUUUCCAGGAGGAGAAACUUGCGUACGCGUUGCGCAAUUGACGGUACCCUGGGAAUAAGCAUCGGCUAACUCCGUGCCAGCCGCCGCAGUAAAAC
rnacentral:rRNA from 1 species